rnacentral:rRNA from 1 species
UACGAAGGGGGCUAGCGUUGUUCGGAAUUACUGGGCGUAAAGCGCACGUAGGCGGAUAUUUAAGUCAGGGGUGAAAUCCCAGAGCUCAACUCUGGAACUGCCUUUGAUACUGGGUAUCUUGAGUAUGGAAGAGGUAAGUGGAAUUGCGAGUGUAGAGGUGAAAUUCGUAGAUAUUCGCAGGAACACCAGUGGCGAAGGCGGCUUACUGGUCCAUAACUGACGCUGAGGUGCGAAAGCGAU